AACGAACGCUGGCGGCAGGCUUAACACAUGCAAGUCGAACGAACAUAGCAAUAUGUUAGUGGCAGACGGGUGAGUAACGCGUGGGAAUGUGCCCUAUGGUUUGGAAUAACUCAGGGAAACUUGAGCUAAUACCGGAUAAUCACGCGAGGGGAAAGAUUUAUCGCCAUUGGAGCAGCCCGCGUCUGAUUAGCUGGUUGGUGAGGUAAUGGCGCACCAAGGCGACGAUCAGUAGCUGGUCUGGGAGGAUGAUCAGCCACACUGCGACUGAGACACGGCCCAGACUCCUACUGAAGGCAGCAGUGGGUAAUAGUGGACAAUGGGGGCAACCCUGAUCCAGCCAUGCCGCGUGAGUGAUGAAGGCCUUAGGGUUGUAAAACUCUUUUAUCCGGGAAGAUAAUGACUGUACCGGAAGAAUAAGCCCCGGCUAACUUCGUGCCAGCCGCCGCGGUAA
rnacentral:rRNA from 1 species